UUUAGCAUGAAGUACGAUAUAAGCUCAACAAUGUACACUUUUCAUAUAACUUUUGCCCUCCCUACGUAAAUUCUUUUACUCGCCAGUUGUUAGACGAUCUGGUCUGCAAUUUCUGGUAUAUAAUAACUUUAGCAUGAAGUACGAUAUAAGCUCAACAAUGUACACUUUUCAUAUAACUUUUGCCCUCCCUACGUAAAUUCUUUUACUCGCCAGUUGUUAAACGAUCUGGUUUGCAAUUUCUCUUUGUUGCACCUUCUCCACAACAGUCCAGCAAAAGUUCUUCAUUACCUUUCAUAGGUUUUAGGGUAGACAGAUGUGGUCUAACUCCACUAACGUGUCAUGAUUUCUGUGCCAAUACAUUAGAAGCGUGAAGUGCGUGAAUAUUUCUUAGGAUGCCAACUAGAAAGUUUGGUUGCUUCUUGACAACUACUUGUUUUGACGUGUCAUGAUUUCUGUGCCAAUACAUUUGAAGUCUGAACUGCGUGAAGAUUUCUUAGGAUGCCGACUAGAAAGUUUAUAUUUUAUUGUUUUGUUGCUUCUUGACAACUACUUGUUCUGACAUGUCAUGAUUUUCUGUGCCAAUACAUUAGAAGCGGGGACUGUGUGAAGAUUUUGUAGGAUGCGGACUAGAAAGUUUUUAUUUUUGUUUUUGGUUGCUUCUUUACAACUACUUGUUUCAAUACAGAAAAAAAAACUUUUGAAUUUCUUUUUAAUGUCAAUUUAUUUGUCAAUCAAUGCUACAUGACCACAACAUUUAUGAUUUUAUUUUAUCCUUCUCUACACCUUAAGAAAAAGACACUUUGGGGUGUCACAAUUUGGAGUGCAAUUAUCAAUUAGAAUAACCAGUCUAUGAGCUAAGUAAGAAUAUAUAGGAACCAUUUUUCUCUAGAACACUUGUGAAAAAAAUCAAUAUAAAGAAACUGAGUACAUAGAGCAUUCCAUAUAAUAUCCCAAAACAAGGCUCAAUAGUGAUGCAACCCAAAGGAGUAGGUCACUCAUAGGCCAUGAUCACGCUCAAAAAAGUUUUGAAUCAUUUUUUUUUUUGGAAAUUUGCACGCCAAUACAACAUUGAUGACAACAAGAAAUAUGAUUCCAUUUUAUCCUUCUCUACACCUUUAAAAAAAAAAAGACCCUUUUUGAAAGGGUAGAGUGAUGCACUAUGAAAAUAGCUAUGACUAGGAGAAUUAGAAAAUUAGAAAAUUGAAAAAUAGAAAAAAAAAGUUUUAAAAUAUUCUUAAUUCUUUACAAGGUAGUAUUUAUCUUUUUGAUCCCAAAAAUCAAUGCUCUACCACCCGGGUUUGGUUCUGUACAUCGUAGUUGGCAAAUGAAAAACUUGUUUAUUAAAUGCAAUUGCUCCAAAUUUGUAAACUUCCUCCAUUCUAAUCUUUGUUUUUUCUUAUUGUUUUUGGAGAAUUCAUAAAUACAAUUUUCCAAUGGUGAAGUGGAAAACAUAGAUGAACAUAGCACAAGGCCAAGAGUUUACACAAAAGAACAUAGUGAUUCCCACUUUAUUCAUUUUAGCCCUCAAACGCAACAUUUGGACCUAGCAUUGACACGAAAGAUAUAUAUCUGUUGCGGCCCCACUAACAUGGUAACAAAUACCAUGGAUGAACUAAGGAGCAGGAGAGUAAGGACGGAGAGUAAGCUCAAGAGAAGGUUGAGAGGUACUCGUAUCAGCCUUGGAUUUGCCAGCCCUGUCGCUUUGGAUUGGAAAGAGAGGGAGGGUUUCCAACAUUGGAUGCUUUGCAGCAUGCCCACCUAACCCUCCUACGGUAGCUUGCUGCUGCAAAUCCUGAGGGCCAGCCGCUUCAGUUGCAAGUUUAGCCAGGCGCUUCUUCUGCUGCCUCUCUCGACCCUUCUGGUUUUGAAACCAGUAGAAGACAUUCUUCUCCUCAAUCUUUCCGUACUGGCUCAACCUCUGUGUUAUCCCCCUUAUUCCCUGUUGGGAUGGGUUCCUCAUCCCAUGAUUAUGGUAUAAGUCUCUCAAGAUUUGUAAUUGCUCCGGUGUUGGGUUCCACCUCGUACUAACAUAUGUAUACUCAGCAUCCAUGUUAUGCUACCUACACAAAGGGAGAGAGAAAAAGCUAGAGAAUAGUGAUGAUUAGUUAUAAAUUAAAAUAGAGAUAAAUACUAUAACUUUCUUUCCAAA